GAGGGAUGCUUUGUGACUGCAAUGUGAUGUGGUUUGUUACUAGUGGAGCGAAUGGCCGAGAUGGGAAGGGGCGUGUUGGUGAAAAAUAAAGUGCGUGACCCGAAGGACAUCAGGUAAAGCGCAUUCGUUAAGUCGCAAUCUCGCGACGGAGUGGAAAUGAUGUUGUAAAAUGCGGGCGGCCCACUUCAGGCUGGGCUUCCACGUGCCUCCGUUUUGCUCCGUGCCGCACCUGCACCUGCACGCCCUGGCGCCGGCCAGCAAGAUGAGCGAACUAACGCAGCGGAAAUACGGCUCGGUGUCCCACUGGUUCAUCACGGUCGACGACGCGCUGACUCGGCUCAGGACGCGAGGCAGAAUCCGCUGACGUUCUGUCCCCUCUGGUGUCAUUGAAAUGGAAAUGCACACGUCGCGCUGAGCUCCAUUCGGGGGACGAUUUCUGGAAAAGACAAGUUCGCAAAGUCAUUUGAACGGCACGACUGUUAUAUAAAUGUGUGCUCAAUGGA